UGAAAUGCAGUGUCACUAAUAAAACCUUAAUAACUAUAAUGUAGGACCAAAUUUGAUGCAGGACAACCUACUAAUGCAAUCUAUUAUGAUUUCAGAAAUCAGCAAGUCUUCACAAUAAUAACUUAAAAUUUAAAUGUUGCUGAUUUUUACUUCGGUUAUUCAGAAUUAAGGAUUAAGAUUAUUCAAUUUAAGAAGUUAGAUUGCAAUCAAGUAGUACAGUUGUUCUGAUCCUAAAUCAAUAUGAUCGAAGAAUGUUGAG
rnacentral:lncRNA from 1 species